rnacentral:rRNA from 1 species
CUGUCCCAGUUCGGACUGGAGUCUGCAACCCGACUCCACGAAGUUGGAUUCGCUAGUAAUCGCGCAUCAGCCAUGGCGCGGUGAAUACGUUCCCGGGCCUUGUACACACCGCCCGUCAAGCCAUGGGAGCCGGGGGCGCCUGAAGUCCGGGACCGCGAGGACCGGCCUAGGGCGAAACUGGUAACUGGGGCUAAGUCGUAACAAGGUAAC